rnacentral:misc_RNA from 1 species
GAACCUGACAUUCGUGCCGCUCGCCGAACGGGGCAAAGCGCCUUCUUCGAUCCGCGCUGCCUGACGGAGUUUAUAUGCCUUAUCUCGUUGCAUCCGAUCUUCCGUCCGAAAGCGCGGGCCGCCGUUUCCGCAGCUUGCUGAAGCGUCCCGACAUUCUGCGUUUGCCGGGCGCGCAUAACGGCAUGGCCGCACUGCAGGCCAAGGCCGCGGGCUUCG